UCUAUGUUUCUCUCUUUGCUCUUUUGGAUCAAUAACUAGAAUCUCAGUUGGAGGAAAUGUUGGGUUAUCCAUAAAUUGCUGCAGUGUUCAAGGGAGUAACGGGGGCUCCGGUCAACAAAAUGAACAGCUGUAUAGAGUUGGGUGUCAUCUGCAAAUAGGUUUUAGUAGUUGUAAGUAUUCCUCUCUGCCAUCUCUCCAUAUUUCUUCCGCUCUCUCCAGUCUUUAUCAAGAAAAAAAAACAGCAUAUGUUUUUUUCGAAACAAAGCUGCUCUUUGCAUGCUACACUGAUUCAUAAACCCGACCACUAUUAUGAUUCACUGAACAUCAAACUGAAGAUCGUGUUUGACUGUGAAGUACGAGAAAACAUUUUCCCCUGGUUUAUUAAUCUCACAGCUGCUCGAUGGGGGAAUUUCCCCGCAUCUCUCAUUUCACAACAUGAGUGUCUCCAGUCCUCUCCUCUUUUCAAUAAUGACAAACGAGAUAUGGAGGGCUGAGAGAGGCCGCGGACCUCAGGUUCCAGCCCCCAACAACCAGUCACUCUGGGCUCUCGCUCUGACUGCAGGGAUGAGGGUUUUUAUUAGCCAGCAUGAGGUUCUGACUGUUUUGGCAAUGCCCGGGAUGACUCGGAGCAGAGAAGCUAGACUGGAGGAGGAUUCAUGGCUUUGUUAAGGGCAAAGGAAAAGUUAGACAUUUUGGUUAAUACACGCCUGCAGGAUGGUGUGGUUGCUGCAUAUACAGUAAGCAAAGCUACACCUUCUUAUUAUCUCAUGUUAUGUGCAGGUCUUCAGUCACUUACACACUAAGGUAUAUACUAUAAAAUAAUGCAGAGACAUAAUAGAGACAAGUCUGUUUGACUGAACAACUCUUUUAGGACAAACACAUUUUAAGCAGAUUUGGUGGCAUUUCUGCAAACCAGACACACAAUAUAGAGAGGAGGUGACAGUGAUACAAAGGUCACAAUAACCCCCCCCCCACACACCCAAAGCAACACACUCAGCAUUUGUGGGAUUUACACACAGGAGUCAAAUGUUUCCACAGGAAGUCUUUUGUUGAAACAAGUCAGACCAGAUGCACAUGUUAACUUCAUGAGGGAAACCUGCACUGACUCUUGAUGAACCUAACCAGGAAUUUUGCCGCAGCGUAACCAGACAGAUCUUACAGACAUAGAUAGCUCUUUUAAGUCACCAAUCAGGAUAUUUCCUGUAUAUCUAAUUUGCAUUUUACUUUUAUGGUAUUCUAAAUAAACACACAAUCUUCUCAGUUACUACCAAAUUUCAAUUUGCUGCAAAUAACAAUUUCAAUAUUCUCAAGACCCAAAAUAGGAUAAAUGCACAAUUAAUUACAUAAUUAAGAGGAUAACAGUUUGGUUUCAGAAGGAUCAUCACUAUUCAUUUUUAUGGUGUGACCUUUUGGUUCCAGAGACCAGCAUCCUGUAUCUAACCAACAUUGCUACGUAACUACCAAGACUGUAUCAGUGCAUUAUUCUUAAAAAGGUCAGUGUUUCAGGUCAAUAUGUGUUUUUAAACUUCAUGGAUACAUACACAGAUAUAACUUACAUUCUCCUCUAUUAUGCAAAUUAUUCAUAGAUACAGCAAAUUAAGAAGGUGGUCAAGUUCAGGAGGCAUUAUAGUUUUCA